rnacentral:rRNA from 1 species
GACUACAUGAAGCUGGAAUCGCUAGUAAUCGCGAAUCAGAAUGUCGCGGUGAAUACGUUCCCGGGUCUUGUACACACCGCCCGUCACACCAUGGGAGUCGGAAAUGCCCAAAGUCAGUGACCUAACCGAAAGGGAGGAGCUGCCGAAGGUGGAGCCGGUAACUGGGGUGAAGUCGUAACAAGGUAAC